AUGCUGGGAGCCCCUCUGCUUGCUGAGCCCCUCCCGAGCCCCCCGCCUGGGCUCAGCCCCCACUCGCAGCACCCAGCACCACCACCUCGGGAACUACAACUCCCAGCCUCCUCCGCGCCGCCCACUGCGGCAGAGCGCAUGCGCGGAGUCCCCAUCUGCACCGCUCGGACUCAAUUUCCCAUCAUCCCCCCGCGCCAGGCCUCCCCCUCCUCCCCCUCCCCGCGCCGCCGCCGUGACGCGCCCCGCGCGGUGACGCGCAAAGCGUGUGCCCGCCACAGCAGUCGCGGCCGCCGCGGGGUGCGCGGGGCCGAGCGCAGGGGCCGGGGGCAGCGGCGGCGGCGACGGCGGCGGCGACCCCGGGAGGGGGGCGUCGGGCAGGUAAAGGAGGGAGCGAGGGAACAAACGGGGUCGGGCCGGGCCCAACGGAGCCGGGUUGGGACAAACGGGGCCGGGCCGGGCCUGGCGCUGAGGCCUCCGGGCCGGGCCGGGCCGGGUGAGGGGCGCCUGAGGGGGUGGGGGAGGGGCGCGCGGCAAGGCCCGGCCCGGUGCGGGGCCUCGCGUCCUGCUCUGCACCCCCCCCACCCCCCCCCCCCCCCCGGCCGUUGUGCCGGGUGGCGGCAGCAGGGGGCGGCUCCCGAGCCUCGUGCCCGCCCCGGCAGCUCGGGCACGGCGCCGGGCCUGCGGGCAGGGCACGGGGCCUGGGGGGCUUUAUCCCGGCCCCGGGGGGGUUGUGGAUGUGAAGGCUCAACAAGUUGAGGCAAAUAGCUGACUUGCACCUCGUCUGUUUAAAGGAUAACUGUAAUUAGUAGAAGAGGUUUUUUUCUCUUUGAAGAAUUCUUCACGUUAAAGGACAAACAGGUUUGCUGAUUCGCUUGCUGUGCGUUUGGUUAGGUUCUGAUUGCUGAGUUGUUAAUUCUCCCAUAUGGGGUUAUAGCAAUUACAUUGGAUUUCCCAUCUAUAUCUUCUCCUUCACUGUACUUAAACUCAUAUUUAUAUAGAAUAUGGAAGUUGAUUAUGUAAGCCAGGUCAAGCUAUAGUUACUAGAAUUUGAGUUGGCUUUAUACAUGUGAGUGUACAAAUCCUCCUGUAAUUUUUGUCCACACACAAACUUAAACGUGCACUCUUCCUACAAAGAUGAUUAAAAUUGAUUUUUUUUUCCUAAGUUAGUGUUUCUGGUUUUGCCGUGUGACUCUUAUUUGACUCUUAUUUUCCAUUUAAACCAAGGCAUGGAUUUUCAGCUUGUUUCCCAAGUAACCAGGUUGUCGUAGACUUUCAGAUUUAACAAACCUAUUUUCACCUAAGCGUUUUUAAGCGUCAAACUUCUUAUCUGUACUGCAGCCUGUUCAGAACCGUACAGUCCCUCUCGUGAGCAUGACACGAUCAAUAAGUGAAUGGCCUGCAGUGUUCCUGUGGUCAGUGAGGAACAAAAGGGUGAAGCUGAACUGCUUGAACUGUACCGAGCCCUUAUCGAGGUGUGUGGUCAGAGGCCGCUGGGAGCCGUAUUUAUUCCUGGGUUGUGCAGAGGUGUCCGAGGCUUCAUGUCAGUGCUUCCGAGUCUCAGCAACACUUUAUCCUCAAUAACCUUUUUCUCUUUUCUGUCAAGCUUUUAUAUCUUCGUUCAGAAGAGUAAAAUGUUCCCAAAAUGCCACUGUGAUACUGGAAUGCUAACUGGUAUUUGGCAUUAAAGCGGCGCCGUGUGCUGCCCUGUGCGCUGACAGAGGUGUGUGGAUUUUUAGUGCGAGUGUUCGGAGUGAGUCACUGCCAGGGUUGUAAAUGUUUGUCCUUUGUCCAAGUCAAAUCCCUUGAGUAACUCCUUGGUUUUGUUUACACCAGUUCUAUCGGAUCUAAAUAUGACGUUCUGUCAGUAGUAGUUUUAGGAAAAAUAAAACACUGCAACCACUGGCCUAUUAGAUAAGG
rnacentral:lncRNA from 1 species